CAGUCGCCGCGGUAGUACGAAGGGUGCAAGCGUUAAUCGGAAUUACUGGGCGUAAAGCGCACGCAGGCGGUUUGUUAAGGCAGAUGUGAAAUCCCCGAGCUUAACUUGGGAACUGCAUUUGAAACUGGCAAGCUAGAGUACGGUAGAGGGGGAUGGAAUUCCGCGUGUAGCAGUGAAAUGCGUAGAUAUGCGGAGGAACACCGAUGGCGAAGGCAAUCCCCUGGACCUGUACUGACGCUCAUGCACGAAAGCGUGGGGAGCAAACAGGAUUAGAGACCCCUGUAGUCCCUGUCUCUUAUAC
rnacentral:rRNA from 1 species